rnacentral:rRNA from 1 species
CCUACGGGAGGCAGCAGUGGGGAAUAUUGCACAAUGGGCGGAAGCCUGAUGCAGCAACGCCGCGUGCGGGAUGACCGGCUUCGGGUUGUAAACCGCUUUCGCCUGUGACGAAGCGUGAGUGACGGUAAUGGGUAAAGAAGCACCGGCUUACUACGUGCCAGCAGCCGCGGUAAU